UUCAUGCUAAGUCCAGAUCCACCAAAAGUAUCAGGUUCGGCAUGCUUUACUCUUCCAAAGUGGCGGACAUGACGCAAAAGCCUAGCCAGGAAUGGGUUAUGGCAUAUGGUUGAGCUAUCACACACAAUAGUAACAUGUUUGCGUGCUCUGGUUAUAGCAACAUUCAUUCGCCUAUUGUCACCUAAGAAUCCAACUGCUCCCAGACUGUUUGAUCGAACCUACAUGAAGAAGAACUAUAUGUGACCUUCAAAUAUAAUAAAUUCAUAGACAAGUUCAUGAUAUGAUUGUAAUAAUAUGUAUUAUACAGGCUCGGCAUGCUUUACUCUUCCAAAGUGGCGGACAUGACGCAAAAGCCUAGCCAGGAAUGGGUUAUGGCAUAUGGUUGAGCUAUCACACACAAUAGUAACAUGUGACAUAUAAAAUAUGGUACCUACGUUGACACGCUGAACAGACACCACAGAAUGUAGACAUAUAACAAGUUACUAAAUGUGUCAGAUUAGAUUGAUUGGAAUUUAGGUUAGUUUACUUUUUCAUAAAUCAAC
rnacentral:lncRNA from 1 species